GACGAACGCUGGCGGCGUGCUUAACACAUGCAAGUCGAACGGAAAGGCCCUGCUUUUGUGGUGUGCUCGAGUGGCGAACGGGUGAGUAACACGUGAGUAACCUGCCCUUUACUUUGGGAUAACUUCAGGAAACUGGGGCUAAUACCGGAUAGGAGCUCCUGCUGCAUGGUGGGGGUUGGAAAGUUUCGGCGGUUGGGGAUGGACUCGCGGCUUAUCAGCUUGUUGGUGGGGUAGUGGCUUACCAAGGCUUUGACGGGUAGCCGGCCUGAGAGGGUGACCGGCCACAGUGGGACUGAGAUACGGCCCAGACUCCUACGGGAGGCAGCAGUGGGGAAUAGUGCACAAUGGGCGGAAGCCUGAUGCAGCAACGCCGCGUGCGGGAUGACGGCCUUCGGGUUGUAAACCGCUUUCGCCUGUGACGAAGCGUGAGUGACGGUAAUGGGUAAAGAAGCACCGGCUAACUACGU
rnacentral:rRNA from 1 species